UUCUGAAGAGAGCAUUGGCCCCUGGUGUUACACAAUGGAUAUAAACGUGAGAUGGGAGUCAGGUGGCAUCCCAGUCUGUUACGAUUUUACCCAAAACUGCAAAACAACACCCAAAGGAACUGAUUACUAUGGGAAAGCUAACACGACCAGUAAAGGAAAUCCGUGCAACUAUUGGUCAGACACAUCCUAUGGAACCAAUGCCCACACAUAUCUUGAUGAUCAAUUAAACUAUUGUAGAAACCCUUUUGGGGAAUUAGACUCCCCUUGGUGUUUUUCAGGGGCAAGUUGGGAUUACUGCAGCGUACCAUUUUGCUGAUAGUUACGACGUCAGAAACCAAGACAGGCCGGUGCCCUGCUAUUAUA